rnacentral:rRNA from 1 species
GAUGAACGCUGGCGGCGUGCCUAAUACAUGCAAGUCGAGCGAACAGACGAGGAGCUUGCUCCUUUGACGUUAGCGGCGGACGGGUGAGUAACACGUGGGUAACCUACCUAUAAGACUGGGAUAACUUCGGGAAACCGGAGCUAAUACCGGAUAAUAUUUCGAACCGCAUGGUUCGAUAGUGAAAGAUGGCUUUGCUAUCACUUAUAGAUGGACCUGCGCCGUAUUAGCUAGUCGGUAAGGUAACGGCUUACCAAGGCAACGAUACGUAGCCGACCUGAGAGGGUGAUCGGCCACACUGGAACUGAGACACGGUCCAGACUCCUACGGGAGGCAGCAGUAGGGAAUCUUCCGCAAUGGGCGAAAGCCUGACGGAGCAACGCCGCGUGAGUGAUGAAGGUCUUCGGAUCGUAAAACUCUGUUAUUAGGGAAGAACAAACGUGUAAGUAACUGUGCACGUCUUGACGGUACCUAAUCAGAAAGCCACGGCUAACUACGUG